CACCAGGUAUUCCCACCCACCAGAAGCUGGCUGUUGUACUCACCCGGAACCAUGGUGCACCACCACAGCGGCGAGGUCAUACAGGCAGCUCUCCGGGCCACUGUUCUCAGGCUACAGAACAAGGAAGAAGGAGCAGUGGUCAAUGACAUCAGUAUCUCGAUGACCUCUACCCUCUCCAUGUGAUGACAAUCUUACUGAAGAGCCAUUUUUUCACCAUGCUAAAAAGGUAUACUGCUGAGAAAGAAUCACAUGAAAAGAAAAAAGACUCAACAAGACCUCACUCAUAUUAACUGGACUCUACAAGCAGUGAGCAUCCAGACCUGCAUUUGGUUACAAAAGAAGCCUUCAAGCUAUUUUCAUCAGCUUCCUAAUCAAGUUAAAAAAUAAACCACAAAACUGAGUAUCCA
rnacentral:antisense_RNA from 1 species